rnacentral:rRNA from 1 species
GCAGCGGGCAAAGCUCAGGCGCCUCGGGAACGGGGAAUGUCCUAUCAGGUAGUUGGUGAGGUAACGGCUCACCAAGCCUAAGACGGGUAGCCGGUGUGAGAGCACGACCGGCCACAUCGGGUCUGAGACACUGCCCGGACUCCUACGGGAGGCUGCAGUGACGAAUAUUCCGCAAUGGGCGAAAGCCUGACGGAGUGACGCCGCGUGCGGGAUGAAGCCCUUCGGGGUGUAAACCGCUGUCAGGGGUAAGCAACCUAAUGAGCUACCCCAGAGGAAGGGGCGACUAACUCUGUGCCAGCAGUCGCGGUAAUACAGAGGCCCCGAGCGUUAAUCGGAGUCAUUGGGCUUAAAGGGUGCGUAGGCGGACCUUCAAGUACUUUGUGAAAUCCCACGGCUCAACCGUGGAAUAGCUUGGUAUACUGGAGGUCUUGAGGUUGGUAUGGGCCGCUGGAACCGUAGGUGUAGCGGUGAAAUGCGUAGAUAUCUACGGGAACGCCGAAGGUGAAGACAGGCGGCUGGGCCGAUUCUGACGCUGAGGCACGAAAGCGUGGGGAGCAAACGGGAUUAGAUACCCCGGUAGUCCACGCCCUAAACGAUGUGCACUGGAUUCGGGAGGCUUUGACGCCCUCCGGGUCGAAGCGAAAGUGCUGAGUGCACCGCCUGGGGAGUACGGUCGCAAGGCUAAAACUCAAAGGAAUUGACGG